CAGUCGAACGGUAAGGCCCCAGCUUGCUGGGGUACACGAGUGGCGAACGGGUGAGUAACACGUGGGUGACCUGCCCCGCACUUCGGGAUAAGCCUGGGAAACUGGGUCUAAUACCGGAUAGGACCGCACCGUGAGGGUGUGGUGGAAAGUUUUUCGGUGUGGGAUGGGCCCGCGGCCUAUCAGCUUGUUGGUGGGGUAAUGGCCUACCAAGGCGGCGACGGGUAGCCGGCCUGAGAGGGUGGACGGCCACAUUGGGACUGAGACACGGCCCAGACUCCUACGGGAGGCAGCAGUGGGGAAUAUUGCACAAUGGGCGGAAGCCUGAUGCAGCGACGCCGCGUGGGGGAUGACGGCCUUCGGGUUGUAAACUCCUUUCACCAUCGACGAAGGUUUUCUGACGGUAGAUGGAGAAGAAGCACCGGCUAACUACGUGCCAGCAGCCGCGGUAAUACGUAGGGUGCGAGCGUUGUCCGGAAUUACUGGGCGUAAAGAGCUCGUAGGUGGUUUGUCGCGUCGUCUGUGAAAUUCCGGGGCUUAACUCCGGGCGUGCAGGCGAUACGGGCAUAACUUGAGUACUGUAGGGGAGACUGGAAUUCCUGGUGUAGCGGUGAAAUGCGCAGAUAUCAGGAGGAACACCGGUGGCGAAGGCGGGUCUCUGGGCAGUAACUGACGCUGAGGAGCGAAAGCAUGGGUAGCGAACAGGAUUAGAUACCCUGGUAGUCCAUGCCGUAAACGGUGGGCGCUAGGUGUAGGGGUCUUCCACGACUUCUGUGCCGUAGCUAACGCAUUAAGCGCCCCGCCUGGGGAGUACGGCCGCAAGGCUAAAACUCAAAGGAAUUGACGGGG
rnacentral:rRNA from 1 species